rnacentral:rRNA from 1 species
UGCAAGUCGUACGCACUGGCCCAACUGAUUGAUGGUGCUUGCACCUGAUUGACGAUGGAUCACCAGUGAGUGGCGGACGGGUGAGUAACACGUAGGUAACCUGCCCCGGAGCGGGGGAUAACAUUUGGAAACAGAUGCUAAUACCGCAUAACAACAAAAGCCACAUGGCUUUUGUUUGAAAGAUGGCUUUGGCUAUCACUCUGGGAUGGACCUGCGGUGCAUUAGCUAGUUGGUAAGGUAACGGCUUACCAAGGCGAUGAUGCAUAGCCGAGUUGAGAGACUGAUCGGCCACAAUGGAACUGAGACACGGUCCAUACUCCUACGGGAGGCAGCAGUAGGGAAUCUUCCACAAUGGGCGCAAGCCUGAUGGAGCAACACCGCGUGAGUGAAGAAGGGUUUCGGCUCGUAAAGCUCUGUUGUUGGAGAAGAACGUGCGUGAGAGUAACUGUUCACGCAGUGACGGUAUCCAACCAGAAAGUCACGGCUAACUACGUGCCAGCAGCCGCGGUAAUACGUAGGUGGCAAGCGUUAUCCGGAUUUAUUGGGCGUAAAGCGAGCGCAGGCGGUUGCUUAGGUCUGAUGUGAAAGCCUUCGGCUUAACCGAAGAAGUGCAUCGGAAACCGGGCGACUUGAGUGCAGAAGAGGACAGUGGAACUCCAUGUGUAGCGGUGGAAUGCGUAGAUAUAUGGAAGAACACCAGUGGCGAAGGCGGCUGUCUGGUCUGCAACUGACGCUGAGGCUCGAAAGCAUGGGUAGCGAACAGGAUUAGAUACCCUGGUAGUCCAUGCCGUAAACGAUGAGUGCUAGGUGUUGGAGGGUUUCCGCCCUUCAGUGCCGGAGCUAACGCAUUAAGCACUCCGCCUGGGGAGUACGACCGCAAGGUUGAAACUCAAAGGAAUUGACGGGGGCCCGCACAAGCGGUGGAGCAUGUGGUUUAAUUCGAAGCUACGCGAAGAACCUUACCAGGUCUUGACAUCUUGCGCUAACCUUAGAGAUAAGGCGUUCCCUUCGGGGACGCAAUGACAGGUGGUGCAUGGUCGUCGUCAGCUCGUGUCGUGAGAUGUUGGGUUAAGUCCCGCAACGAGCGCAACCCUUGUUACUAGUUGCCAGCAUUAAGUUGGGCACUCUAGUGAGACUGCCGGUGACAAACCGGAGGAAGGUGGGGACGACGUCAGAUCAUCAUGCCCCUUAUGACCUGGGCUACACACGUGCUACAAUGGACGGUACAACGAGUCGCAAGCUCGCGAGAGUAAGCUAAUCUCUUAAAGCCGUUCUCAGUUCGGACUGUAGGCUGCAACUCGCCUACACGAAGUCGGAAUCGCUAGUAAUCGCGGAUCAGCAUGCCGCGGUGAAUACGUUCCCGGGCCUUGUACACACCGCCCGUCACACCAUGGGAGUUUGUAACGCCCAAAGUCGGUG